ensembl:piRNA 21ur-95 ncRNA
UACCAAUGUAAGGUUCACUCC